GAUGAACGCUGGCGGCGUGCCUAAUACAUGCAAGUCGAGCGACAAGACGGGGGCUUGGUCCUCUGACCGUUGGGGGGGACGGGGGGGUAACCGGGGGGAAACCUACCUUUAAGGACGGGGAAACUUAGGGAAACCGGGGGUAAAUCCGGAAUAAUUUUUUGAACCCCGGGGUGCAUAGGAAAAGGCCGGUUUUGCGGUACCUACUGGUGGAUCCGCGCCGCAUUAGCUAGUUGGUAAGGUAACGGCUUACCAAGGCAACGAAUCGUUGCCGACCGGAGAGGGUGAUCGGCCGCACUGGAACUGAGACACGGUCCAGACUCCUACGGGAGGCAGCAGUAGGGAAUCUUCCGCAAUGGGCGAAAUCUUGACGGAGCAACGCCGCGUGAGUGAUGAAGGUCUUCGGAUCGUAAAACUCUGUUAUUAGGGAAGAACAAAUGUGUAAGUAACUAUGCACGUCCUGACGGUACCUAAUCAGAAAGCCACGGCUAACUACGUG
rnacentral:rRNA from 1 species